CAGCGGGUCGGCCGAUUGCAGCGCUUCCUCUGCCAGCAGGAACUGCCAAAUUUUGUUUCCCUGUGCUGCAGUGGAGCCCUGGUUCUCAGCUAAACUGGAGGGGUGUUUUGUGUUAGGGGUGUGGAAGCGUGUGGGGAGAGGCAGUUCCUCGGCCGGAUUGUUUAUGUGCUAAACAGACGGGAGAGAGGAAGCGGGUGCGCAGCGAAGCGGCUGGGUCUGCGUGGUUUGGGGCCAGGGUGCCUGUCGCUGCUCGAGGUCAGCAGAGCAGUUAGGAGUCUGCGAGUCAGCGAUUGGCAGAGCAGGUUUGGGCUCCCGGCAGCAGCAAGGCUGGCUAGAAAAGUGUAAAAGCUAUUUUGUUUCUAUAUAUUUUGGAAAGGUCAUAUCUAUAUGCAGUGAGAAAGGCGUAAAUCUUACAUUGUGAAUUUAGGUACUCUGGCCCCUUUUUAAUGUAAUGCUUCCCUAGCGUCUAAAAACAGUGCCAAUAAAGUUAUUGGCAAACCAAUGUGGCUUUAUUAAGAAGAUUUGCAACUUAAUUUAGCUUUUUAAAAUCUUUCAAAGGAAAUCCUAGCCUCUGAACAAUGAAGAUCUUAGACCCUGGGUAACUCUAUGCGAAUCUGCACAUUGCUCUGCUGAAACAGAUGCUGAAGUUCUUUAGAAGGAUCUUCUUGAUUCAGACAAAGUGCCUGCGUGAGAACAGAGAAAGCUCCCAACUAUACUGUGCCUGAGCGGUGAGCCAUGCUGGGCCGAAAAACAGGACUCCCCCAAAACCUAAACAGCCACCACCGGAUGAACCAGUCCUACCAGGAGGCUGUGCCCCUGCGGAGCAGACCAUCCAAGGAAAGUGAUGUCAGUCUGGAGGUGUUCAGCGGCUCUACGCCCGAAAUCACACAGAGCCGCAACAGAGCCCAGCAAAUGCGGGACAGGAAAGGUCGCAAAGCUGACCUCAAAGACUCUAAUGGGAGAGAGGCAGAAACAAUUACCUUCAUCUCUGGUACAGCAGAGGCUCCCCAAACUCAGAGCUCGUGCUGUUCCUCUCUGUCUCAGGCCUGGAACACAUACAAGGCUGUUUUCUGUUGUAUAGUGACCUGUGGGGGCUGCUUUCAGGACUGCAGUGUCUGUAUCACGUAUCCAGGGCCUGCUGAGACCUCCACUGAAGACGGAAAGAAUGGAGAUUAUAAUGGGCGACUGCCAAACAGCCCUGCCAACAUCUCUCCCACUGAGAAGAAUGGGAACCAGAUCAAAAAGACCAGCAUGGGUAGCAGUUUCAGUUACCCAGAUGUGAAACUAAAGGGUAUUCCUGUCUAUCAAAACAGGAGCCCCAGCCACCAUCUGGAUUCAGAUUCAUGCUGCAAAGAGCUGCUGCCAGAUAAGCCCUUAAGGAAUAGCAUAGAAAAGCCACCGCUCCCCAGCAGCCACCGCAGUUCGGAGGAGUAUUACUCAUUCCACGAGUCCGACCUGGACAUCAGUGAGCUGAAUGGCUCCAUGUCCAGCAGGGAGAUUGAUGUCCUGAUCUUCAAGAAACUCACAGAGCUCUUCAGUGUCCACCAGAUUGAUGAGCUGGCCAAAUGCACGUCAGACACUGUCUUCCUGGAGAAGACCAACAAGAUCUCGGACCUCAUCAACAGCAUAACUCAGGACUACAACUUGGAUGAGCAGGAUGCUGAAUGCAGGCUGGUCCGAGGCAUCAUACGCAUCAGCACCCGGAAAAGCAGGGUCCGGCCCCAUAUUUCUAUCCCAGCCAGCCAGAGCCACGAGAAGUCCAGCAGAGGCAACCCACCGGACAGUGGUAAUGAAACCAUGCUGGAGUCCAUGGUCAUCAGCCAAGAUGACUUGGCUGUGCAAAUAUCGGAGGAAACGCCAGCAGAUGUGAUAGCCAGGAAUAUGAGGCGGCAUAGCAGUGCAGGAUCUCCAACGAGCAGAGAUUCCUCUUUCCAAGACACAGAGACUGACUCAUCUGGGGCACCUCUGCUUCAGGUGUAUUGUUAAGGAAAAGGACCCGAGUAGGAUGCAGGCGUUACAAGGCCUUGCAGCAAUCCGAUUUCUACCCUUUCAAUACAGAGCAUGCUAUGCCACUUUAUUUUUUUUUUUCCAAUCUACUCUUAUCCUUUGCUGAAGCCAAUCUUCUCUUGUCCGAGUUGCAUUGGUUUUUUUGGACAUCGAACAUCAAGGAAAUGAAUUGGGGAUCUAAUGAGAUUGGAAGGUGGACUGUGUGCCCUGGGAGGAGAAGACGAACAAGGAAGUACUGGAUAUCUUGCGCCUCUCUGUUUUAUUUCCAUUCUUGGUGUUUAGCUUCAACGACCUCAGUGGCCCAGCCCUUUCCCUGCUUUGAUAAUCUGCUGUACAGUUCUUGCUUUUUGGCAUUGCGUAAGUUAAGUUGGGGAGUGAAUAAUCAUGUGGUGUCUCUGUCACAAUGCUGAGGUGAAAGCCGAGGUGUUAGCAGCACCCUGCUCUCUAGGGACCCAGACUUAAAAUUGCUGUCUUGGUAGUCCUGGAAAUGUAAGUCCUCUAUCCGUGGUAUUUACAGUAGCUGGAUAUGCUCUCUUCCUGCUGGCCUUUAGUGGUGUCAUCUCCUGCCGCCUCAGAAGGAGAAGGCUGUUAAUGCAGUUCAUGUAUUCUUUGGCCUCUUGGCACAUCUCCCGAGAUAGUCAAUCAGUGCCAAUUCCAGGGGGGACGAGAUGCCUGGACUGCUGCCCAGCUCCUGUCCCCUAGUUACCAAACAGACUAUGGAGAUCAGCUUUGUGGUCGCUGCCAAUCUGAUGUGAACUACCAGCAUGAGGUAUUAAAAAAUUGCAAGUGUUGAUCUGCGACUUGUGUGCCAGUCAGCUCUUCCUCACUCAUCCGCCAGGCCCUCUGCAUUUCCCCAUUGUGCUUGAUUUCACACUGACUGCUGGGGAGAGCCUUGAACUCGGGUUGUGGCAGCAGGUAACCUCUGCUGCAGUCGUGGAAGAGAGAGACGUGCUUCUCGGAAGGAUCUGAAACCCAUGAACAGUGUGGCUUAGAAGUUAGAAAACAGAUGGAUUUACCCUAAAUUCUUGUAUAGCCUGGUCCUUAGAAGCUUGCAGCAGUAGCAGAGGAGCUGUGGCGUCUGUUGAAAGUAAGCAGUAAUGGUAAACAUCAAGUACCUGUUUCCUUCUUUGGGGUUUUGCUAUUUCAAGCUUUUCUCAAAGUAGUCUUGCAGCCUAGGCCAUUUCCCAAAUGAUCUGAGCUGCAACAUUCAUUAAUAUAAGCUAAGCCAACAGCUGGUGUUAGAAGAUGAGGAGAAGCUUUUAAGCAUGAGGAAAGCCCUCCGCAGAGCCUGCAUGCCUUUGAGGCUUGGUUUUUGAAAGAUGUGAGAAAGGGGAGUUGGGAUUUCUUAGGCAAGGUGCCCCUUCCAAGGGCCACCUCCGCAAGGCCCCGUGACACUGCUGGGAGCCCAGCAGCGCUUGGGGAGCCCGAGGCCUCUCCCUCAGCUUUAACCCUCCUGUUCCUGCUCGGAGCUGUGGGUUGUGGGGAAGGCGGGCCCCCUUCCCCAGCCCGGCUGCGUGCUGCAGUAUGAGCGAGUGGCCUCACUCAGGGGUGAUCUCCGAAGCCAGCACCCAUGGCUCCCUCGCAUUGACUGUGCUUGGGGUGAGACCUGAUGGAGCCAGGUGGCGUGGCAGACCUCAGGUGUGCUGGCAGCCUCUGCUCCGGAGGGUGGCAGCACUGGAACAGCUUCUCCAGAUGAUUUGAAAGAGGUGUGGAAAGGCGAACGCCCCUUCAUCUCAUACCACCCUAGUUCGGAGCCCUCCUCUGACUGUCAGGGCUUGGGCAGGGGGACAUUUGCUAGGAAUCAAGACACAGAAGCUUUUGUAAGACUUGGCUCCCAAUGUCUCUCGUGGUAUCCUGAGUUUUCCUGCCUUAAUCACAGAUUAAAAAGGCCACUGGUCAUACCGAGUUAGGGUAUUUGCGAUUUGUAAGUCGCUUUUGGAGCAACUGGGACCAGAGCCCUGCUACCCUCGCGUAGCUUGUUCCAGGAGGAAGCUGCCUUUUGGAAGCAAAAGGGUGGGUUUGAUUCAGCUCGGCCCAGAGAAAGUCAAUGACAGCUGGGUAGUUUGCACAGGACAAGGCCGGCAGGAGAAACACCUUCUGUUCCGCUGGCCGGAAGGGUCGAAGUCCAGGGGUAGUGCUCAGGUCAACUGCAGUUCACAAACACAGCCCAGGACAUUCACCUGGCUUACAGUUGAGAGCUGAAAUCAUGGCCCAGUUCUCCUAGGAGUGUUUGUUUGCUUUUUUUCUCUUUACCUCCUUGAAAGACUCCUUCUCCCCUGCAAAAAUCCUCCCCCAAGUUUCCUCUGAGGGGCCUGCCGCUGCCUUGUCUCUCUCUUCCCUUAGCCUGCUCUGCUGCUGCUACCCAGCGUGCAGUCCAGGGCCCUCACCCACAGCCCCCUGCAAGUGAAGCUAACAAGAAGGAAGACUUGUGCCACCCUGAACUGGAAAACUUGGGAAUUUCAAAGUCACAACUACACUGACCACCACCGUAUGGUCAUGCGUGCUAAGACCCCGCGGGGCAGAGGACAAGAACAGCUGCAGAGAUUUCGGUUUGGGCAGUCAAAACUCAAGGGCGCUCUGUGUUUCCAGUGGGCAGCAUAGCUCUGCCUAACAGUGAGUCGGCGUUCAAGCAGCUAAUCCCACAGCUGCUGCUGUUGUGAGUGACCCUGGCUGGGACCUGCAUCACCAGAUCCAGGCGACCGCUGGUGAUCUGCCUUUAGAUUUGGCCUGAGCUUUCGCUUGAUCAGGCCAGACUCAGGGUUCCCAGUGUUGGUUAGAUGGGAAUGAGGUGGUAACGGGAAAGUAACAAAGCCACGGUUUGGGCUUGGGGUGGUGCCGUGAACUGUGCAGGUUUACAACCAGUCCCUCUUUGGUGCCCUGGUGCCUGUCUGGGCUUGCUCCUUGGGAGGGGCUGGAGGCCAGAUGCAGAUCCCGCUGCAGGUGCAGAGCCCAACCCCAUCUCUCUUGCUGUUCUGCCAACUCCAAGGAGCACCGGAGGUGCGCGCUCCGGCCUCCCCUUGCCAACACGCACCUGAGCAGGGGGUGAUGCUUGCCCGCUGUUGUUUUAUCAGUGCCAAAGCACAGAAGGGCAACACCUGCAGGGUUAACUGUAAGAUUAUCAGGCAGGAGGAACAACAGAGCUCCUUUCAGACCCCUGCUGCAAAGCACAGCAGCCCAAGGCAGCUACCCAGAUGCCCACAAGGUCACUGCUCAUCUGGGUGGCUGCUGCUUUUUGAGCCAGAGGGCCUGUAAAACUGGGAGGCUAAAUAUGAACAGUGUCCUACUACUCAAAAAAUAAAAACAACAACAAAAAAAAAAAGUACAGGGCCAUGACAGACUUUGCUCACGUCAGGUUUUUUUUUCAGCUGUUUAUGCCCACUUCUUCUGGUAGGAGGUGGAAACAUCUUGGGGGGCAGAGGUGAGAACUAACCACAGCAAAAGGAUUUUGGAUAGCCUGUGAAGCACCGAUGGGAGCCCAGGCUUUUGGGACCCAUCGGAUACAGACUCUUUUCCUUAUUAGCUUGUCAUAAAGCAGACCUGGGGCAAGGGUGGCUUCCUCAGUGUCAGCACACGCUGCUACAUGGAGAGCGGAGCCUGGAGCAACAGACCUUGGUCAUCGCAGACAAAGCGUGUGAGCUGGGUCUGGAAUUAGUCAGCACUUCUGAGCGAGAGACACUCAGUUCUAGCUGCCCCUCCUUAGCUGAGGAGCGUUCGACCACAGCAGGAAGCCUGAGAGGUCUUUACCAGCAGCUAUAGAGCACGACCCCCAGCCCCUGCCAGGCAGGCCCCUAGGCACUGUCGUUCACAGGCACUACCCCCUUCCAGGUCCCAUCCAAGCCUGCACAGGCCGCUUGGAGCUCUUCUGCAGGAGAAAUCACACGCUCUACCUGGAAAUAUGCCAUUUUUUUUCUUUAUGUUGCACUGCAGUUUUAACAAAGAUAUGAACAUGCAGAGUAAUGCCACUCGUCAGCAGGAGCUCUGAGAAUGCAGCGACAUCUGUCAGUAGUCAGCAGGGAGAGAGGCUCUCGGAAAAGAGGCAGGAGACA